CAUGACCGUAUCCACCGAAUUGGGCAGUUCAAGCCAAUCAAGAGCACUAGGUUUGUGAUAAAGGGCACGGUUGAAGAGCGCAUACUGCAACUGCAACAGAAGAAGCAGCUGGUGUUUGAAGGCACCGUGGGGGACUCACCGGAUGCCAUGUCGAAGCUUACAGAGGCAGACCUCAAGUUUCUGAUCUAGAUCUAAAUGCUGACG